UCUUUGGCCACAAUUGGAGGCCAUGAUUUGAAGAGGGUGACUUGGAACAUUCUAGGCCGGCUUUACACAGACGACGUGUCCCACCAGAUCAACUGGAAAGGUGUGAACACCAAAAAGGCCUUCAGCCAGAUGUCGGCAAAGAGCUUGCUUUUCAGUGCUGUGAGGAAAAACUCCCUCACAAAGUCCGUCACCGAUGCGGAGGUCACAAAGCACACCAUCAGGUGGUUUAACCUGGCCAUGGAUCGGGCGACAAAGAGACGAGGAGGUGUCCGUCCCCCGACAUGUCCCUCACAGCCGUAGUGAAGCCGUAAUGAAGCAGUUGAGAACAUAAUGAAUAAAAAAAUUACUCAAAUUA